rnacentral:rRNA from 1 species
AAGACCUUGCGCUUUUGGAGCGGCCGAUGCCUGAUUAGCUUGUUGGUAAGGUAAAAGCUUACCAAGGCUUCGAUCAGUAGCUGGUCUGAGAGGACGACCAGCCACACUGGGACUGAGACACGGCCCAGACUCCUACGGGAGGCAGCAGUGGGGAAUUUUGGACAAUGGGGGCAACCCUGAUCCAGCCAUGCCGCGUGAGUGAAGAAGGCCUUCGGGUUGUAGAGCUCUUUCAGCCGGAACGAAACGGUUACGGAUAACACCCGUGACUACUGACGGUACCGGAAGAAGAAGCACCGGCUAACUACGUGCCAGCAGCCGCGGUAAUACGUAGGGUGCGAGCGUUAAUCGGAAUUACUGGGCGUAAAGCGUGCGCAGGUGGUUUUGUAAGUCAGAUGUGAAAGCCCCGGGCUCAACCUGGGAACU